AGGGGAAUAGCUGGGUAAAAUGGUGAUUCCAUUCCCAGCUUUCCAAGAAAUCUCCAUACUGCUUUCCAAAUUGGCUACACCAAUUUGCAGUCCCACCAGCAAU
rnacentral:pre_miRNA from 1 species